rnacentral:lncRNA from 1 species
CAGAAUAAAGUAAUAGCUGCAGCAACAAUUUUGAUAAAAUUUAGCACUAUAAAUGAUUAAAAAAAACUUUUGGCAAAGGAGGAAUAGAAUAGAACUUCCUUAAUCUGUCCAAAGGUUAUCAACAGAACACUCCACAGCCAAUAUUACGUAAUAGUGAAGUAUUGAAAACUUUCCUCUUGAUAUCAAGAAUGAGAUUAAGAUGAUCAUUAUGGGCCAGGCACAAUGGCUCAUGCUUGUAAUAGUAGUACUUUGGGAGUCCAAGGCAGGCAGAUCACUUGACGACAGGAGUUCGAGACCAGCCCAGCCUUCACGGCAAAACCUAGUCUGUACUAAAAAUACAAAAAUUAGUAGGGUGUGGUGAUGCGCUCCUAUAAUCCCAACUACUCGGGAGGUUGAGGUGGGAGAAUUGUUGGAACCCAGGAGGCAGAAGUUGCAGUGAAUGGAGGUUGUGAUGAGCUGGGAUUGCACCAUUGUACUCCAGCCUGAGCAGCAGAGCAAGACUCUGUCUCAAAAAAAAAAAAAGAAAAGAAAAGAAAGAUCAGUAUCACCCACUUCUGUACCGGAAAUUAACAGACAAUUAUUUAAUAAGGAAAUAAAAAGGAGUAAGAAACUCAAGAUUUGUAAGACAGAAAUGCUAUUUUAUAUAGACCUCCCUACAGUCAAUCUACAGGUUAACUAUUAUAAUUUACGACUCAAUUUAUCAAAGUCUCUAAACACAGUCAAUAUCUGCAAAUCAAUGAUAUCUCUGUAUUCCAGCCAUAAAAAUUUCAAAAGUGAAUCUUAAAAAUAUAAUUUAAAGUAGUAUCAGACCCAUCAAAUACCCAGGAAAAUAAUCUCACAAAAUAUGUGUAAGAUGGUUACACAGAGAAUCAUAAACAUUGCUGAGAGAAAUUAAAGAAGACCUAAAUCAAUAGAGGGACAUACCAUGUUUAUAGAUUAGAGACUAAAUAUUGUAAAGAGGAAGAUUCCUCCUAAAUUGAUCUAUAUAUUUAAAUCUAAUUCUGAUAAAAAUCCUGCAUAAAAUUUUGUGGAAAUUAAAAAGUUGUUUUUUAAAAUGUAUAUGGAGAUGCAAAGGAGCAAGAAUAGUUCAAACAAUCUUGAAGAAAAAAAUAAAAUUGGGAGACUUAUACUCUCAGAUAUCAAGAUUUAUUGUAAGGACAGAAUAAUUAUGAUAGUAGGCAAGGAUGCAAGGAUGUAGGUAUAAACAAUUAUAACAGAGUCCAGAAACAAAUCUAAAUUGAUACUUGACUCAUGAUAAAUAUAUUAGUCAGCUCAGGCUGACAUAAAAUACCAUAGACUGGGUAGCUUAAACAACCAAAAUUUAUUUUCUCACAGUUCUGAAGACUGGAAAUCAAGAUCAGAGUGCCAGCAGGGUCAAUGUCUGGUGAAGUCUCUCUCCUUGGAGUGUAGAUCACUGCCUUUUUACUAUGUCCUCAUGUGGUGAAGGGAGAGAGAGAGAGAGCAGGCUCUCUGCUGUCUCUUCUCAUAAGGGCACUAAUCCCACUGGACAAAGGCCCCAUCCUCAUGAUCUCAUUUAACACUAAUUAUCUUCCAAAGGCCUCAUCUCCAAUUGCCAUAAUAUUGGGGGUUAGAGCUUCAACAUAUGAAUUUGGGGGACACACAAACAUUCAGUCUAUAACAACAAAGAUGACACGGUAGAGCAGUGGAGAAAGGAUGGUCUUUUCAAUAAAUAUGUUUAUGGAAAAAAUGUAUGUUGAUUCUCUACUUCACAUCAUUCAUAACAAAUUGUAGAUGGAUUGUUGAUCUAAAUGUGAUAGGUAAAACAAUAGAGCUUCUAGAGAAUGCCUAGGGGAAUUUAUGAUCUUGAAUACACCAAUAUUUCUUAAACUACAUACAUAAAGUACUAACCAUAAUGGAAAAAGUUAAUUACAUAUAAUACAAUUAAGAAUGUUUGCUGAUUUUAAAAAAUCUUUCAGGUUGCUUGGUGGAUACAAUAUGUGUUGUUCCAGUGAUGGAUACACUGAAGGCCUUGAAUUCGCCAUAGUGCAAUAUAUCAAUAUAGUUAAAUUAUACUCAUAUCCCAUGAAUUUAUACAAAUAAAAAAAGAAAAAAUCUUUCCAAAGAAUGAAAAAGCAAAUCACUGAGUACCAGAUGAAGUUUGUAAUGCAUUUCCCUGUAAAAGACUUAUAUUGACAAUGUAUAAAGAAUCUCUGUAAAUAAAAAUAAAACAGCUCAAUAGAAAAAUAGGCAAAAAAUGUAAACAGGCCCUUCAUCAAAGAAAAUAUCCAAGUUAUCAGUAAACAUGAAAAGUUUUUCAAUCUCAUUACUCAUUAGGGACAUCAGAUUUAAAAUCAUAGUGAGAGACCGGUAAACACACAUGAGAAUGGCUAAAAUGAAGAAGAUUGACAAUACCAAGUUUGAGGAGGAUAUGGAGCAACUGGGACUCUCAUGCAUAGCUGGUGAGAGUGUAAAUACAUGUAACCACUAUUGAAAGCUGAUUGGCAAUAUCUAUUAAUGCUGAACAUACCUAAGAUAGAAUUAUUGCCUUGGCUCCCUCCAUUCCCCCACUGGGUAUCCAACACCCAAGGUGCACCUAGUAAGGAUGCUUUUCUUCUCCUUGUGCUGAGGUCCCAGGUCAGACAUUUUAUUCUAGUGAGCAAAACAGAUAUGCUCCUGUCUUAACCUGGCUCAUAGUCUGGUGGAAGAGACAGACAUUAAAACACACACACACACACACACACACACACACACACACACACACACACACACAAACUCAAUCAAGUCUGAGAAUUACCAAGUCCAGAGUGCUGUCGGAUCUGACCAGGUUUGGGGUCAGGGAAGGUCUCCCUAGGAUGAGGUUUAAGAUAAGAUACAAAGGACUGAAUUCAUCAGUAGGACUAAACUGGCAAAGGAUUUUAGGGUUGUGAGGGAGGAAGCAGCACAUUUAAAGGCUGAGUGGAGGGAGGGCCUCAAGGAAGUGAAAGAAGCCAGAAUCCAGAAAGCAGACAGGUGUGAGGCUGGCCUGGUCUUAGGAGCCAUGGAGACCAUGCCAGGAGUGCCACUUUCUUCUUGAGGGCAGUGGAUGCCACUGAAGAGUUUUGAGCAGGUGAGAGCAGUGGUCAUAUUGGUGUUUCAGAAGAAUUUUCUAGAUGCAGAAUGGAGAGAAGGAACUACAUGACAGUGAGUUAGAAGGCUACUUGUAGUUUGGGCAAGAGGUAUUGGUGGCUUCACUGGGAUUGAGGGUAACAAACUCCAUGAAGAUAAGGCACCUAGAACAGUGCCUCACAUAUAAGU